UUAGCGGCGGACGGGUGAGUAACGCGUGGGCAACCUGCCUUACAGAGGGGGAUAACAGUGCGAAAGUACUGCUAAUACCGCAUGAUAUUGUACCACCACAUGAUGACUGUAUCAAAGGAGAAAUCCGCUUUGAGAUGGGCCCGCGGCUGAUUAGCUAGUUGGUGAGGUAAUGGCUCACCAAGGCGACGAUCAGUAGCCGACCUGAGAGGGUGACCGGCCACACUGGAACUGAGACACGGUCCAGACUCCUACGGGAGGCAGCAGUGGGGAAUAUUGCGCAAUGGGGGAAACCCUGACGCAGCAACGCCGCGUGGAGGAAGAAGGUCUUCGGAUUGUAAACUCCUGUCUUCUGGGAAGAAAAAAUGACGGUACCAGAGGAGGAAGCCACGGCUAACUACGUGCCAGCAGCCGCGGUAAUACGUAGGUGGCGAGCGUUGUCCGGAAUUACUGGGCGUAAAGGGCGCGUAGGCGGAUAUUUAAGUCAGAUGUGUAAACUGCAGGCUUAACCUGGAGAUUGCAUCUGAAACUGGACAUCUUGAGUGCAAGAGAGGGAAGUGGAAUUCCUAGUGUAGCGGUGAAAUGCGUAGAUAUUAGGAGGAACACCAGUGGCGAAGGCGACUUCCUGGCUUGUAACUGACACUGAGGCGCGAAAGCGUGGGGAUCAAACAGGAUUAGAUACCCUGGUAGUCCACGCCGUAAACGAUGAGUGCUAGGUGUCGGGGGUAUCGACCCCCUCGGUGCCACAGCUAACGCAAUAAGCACUCCGCCUGGGGAGUACGGUCGCAAGACUGAAACUCAAAGGAAUUGACGGGGGCCCGCACAAGCGGUGGAGUAUGUGGUUUAAUUCGACGCAACGCGAAGAACCUUACCAAGGCUUGACAUCGUCUGAAUUACUCUUAAUCGAGGAAGCCUUUCGGGGCAGAUAGACAGGUGGUGCAUGGUUGUCGUCAGCUCGUGUCGUGAGAUGUUGGGUUAAGUCCCGCAACGAGCGCAACCCUUAUUGCUAGUUGCCAUCAUUAAGUUGGGCACUCUAGUGAGACUGCCGGAGACAAUUCGGAGGAAGGUGGGGAUGACGUCAAAUCAUCAUGCCCCUUAUGUUCUGGGCUACACACGUGCUACAAUGGGUGUAACAACGGGAAGCAAGCUGGCAACAGCAAGCCAAUCCCUGAAAAGCACCCUCAGUUCGGAUUGUAGGCUGAAACCCGCCUACAUGAAGUUGGAAUCGCUAGUAAUCGCGAAUCAGCAUACUGCGGUGA
rnacentral:rRNA from 1 species